UGGGAAUUUUGGACAAUUGGGCGAAAGCCUGAUCCAGCAAUGCCGCGUGUGUGAAGAAGGCCUUCGGGUUGUAAAGCACUUUUGUCCGGAAAGAAAUCCUUGGCUCUAAUACAGUCGGGGGAUGACGGUACCGGAAGAAUAAGCACCGGCUAACUACGUGCCAGCAGCCGCGGUAAUACGUAGGGUGCAAGCGUUAAUCGGAAUUACUGGGCGUAAAGCGUGCGCAGGCGGUUUGCUAAGACCGAUGUGAAAUCCCCGGGCUCAACCUGGGAACUGCAUUGGUGACUGGCAGGCUAGAGUAUGGCAGAGGGGGGUAGAAUUCCACGUGUAGCAGUGAAAUGCGUAGAGAUGUGGAGGAAUACCGAUGGCGAAGGCAGCCCCCUGGGCAAGUACUGACGCUCAUGCACGAAAGCGUGGGGAGCAAACGGAUUAAUNCCCUGGUAGUCCACGCCCUAAANGAUGUCAACUAGUUGUUGGGGAUUCAUUUCCUUA
rnacentral:rRNA from 1 species